CAAUAGCGUAUAUUAAAGUUGUUGCGGUUAAAAAGCUCGUAGUUGGAUUUCUGCUGAGAACGACCGGUCCGCCCUUUGGGUGUGUAUCUGGCUCUUUCUUGGCAUCUUCUUGGUGAACGUUGCUGCACUUGACUGUGUGGAGCGCUACCCAGGACUUUUACUUUGAGGAAAUUAGAGUGUUUCAAGCAGGCAUACGCCUUGAAUACAUUAGCAUGGAAUAAUAAGAUAGGACCUCGGUUCUAUUUUGUUGGUUUCUAGAGCUGAGGUAAUGAUUAAUAGGGAUAGUUGGGGGCAUUCGUAUUUAACUGUCAGAGGUGAAAUUCUUGGAUUUGUUAAAGACGGACUACUGCGAAANCANNNGCCAAGGACGUUUUCAUNGA
rnacentral:rRNA from 1 species